GAGGUACUCCCUCCGUUCAGAAUUACUUGUCACAAAAAUGGAUGUAUCUACAACUAAAAUACAUCUAGAUACAUCCAUUUCGUGGACGAGUAAUUCCGAACGGAGGGAGUAUGUU
rfam:Triticum urartu cultivar G1812 contig1053381, whole genome shotgun sequence.